UUCCAGACUCCUACGGGAGGCAGCAGUGGGGGAUAUUGCACAAUGGGGGGAACCCUGAUGCAGCGACGCCGCGUGGGUGAAGGAGUGCUUCGGCAUGUAAGGCCCUAUCGGCAGGGAAGAAGCAAGACGGUACCUGACUAAGAAGCCCCGGCUAACUACGUGCCAGCAGCCGCGGUAAUACGUAGGUGGCGAGCGUUGUCCGGAAUUACUGGGUGUAAAGGGAGCGUAGGCGGGAGAGCAAGUCGACUGUGAAAUCUAUGGGCUUAACCCAUAGCUGCGAUCGAAACUGUUCAUCUUGAGUGAAGUAGAGGCAGGCGGAAUUCCUAGUGUAGCGGUGAAAUGCGUAAAUAUCAGGAGGAACACCGGCGGCGAAGGCGGCCUGCUGGACCGUGACUGACGUUGAGGCUCGAGAGCGUGGGGAGCAAACAGGAUUAGAUACCCUGGUA
rnacentral:rRNA from 1 species